UUUCCCAUAACACAAGUUAGUAAGACCCCUGAAAGAACAUCAGGUUGAUAGGUCAGAGGUGUAAGCGCAGUAAUGUGUUAAGCUGACUGAUACUAAUAGGUCGAGGGCUUGAUCUA
rnacentral:rRNA from 1 species